AGGGACCCCCACCCACCUGGGCGCGCAGGGAGAAGGUCUUCCGGAGCAGCCUGCCAGGGAGGACUUCAGAGACAUCAUAGAGAACCUUGAACCAGGCGUCAUCCUGCGUGACUGUGUCCUCAUCAUAGAGGGUGUGGUUGGCAUCUGUAGGACCACAUAGGGGUCUGCCUCGCUCACUGCCAACAUCAAGGGAGCCGUUGUGAGACAGAAUUCCUCACAUCACUCUCCAGGAGCCUCACCAGGUUCCUCCCAAGAUCCCUGCAGCCACUCUGGGCAGCCCAGCCCAAUCCAGCCUCUAGGCACUUGCCUGGGUCUUUCCCUUAGGACCCAGUCAACCCCACCUCCCUAGAGCCCAGUUCACAGUUACUCACACAGGUCAGCCCAGCCCAGGCCCCGUGCCUCCAGGACCUUCACGGUGAGCCGCCAGCAGGUAGAGGCCUCCCU